UAAGGGAUUUCUUUCAUAUUUGGCCUUU
rnacentral:sRNA from 1 species